rfam:Triticum aestivum genome assembly, contig: Triticum_aestivum_CS42_TGACv1_scaffold_458909_5DS
GGAUGCGAUCAUACCAGCACUAAAGCACCGGAUCCCAUCAGAACUCCGAAGUUAAGCGUGGUUGGGCGAGAGUAGUACUGGGAUGGGUGACCUCCUGGGUAGUCCUCGUGUUGUAUUCC